AUUUGAAAUCUGGCUCCUCUGGAGUCCGAGUUGUAAUUUGUAGAAGAUGCUUUGGGUUGUGGGUUCGGCCUAAGUUCCUUGGAACAGGACGUCAUAGAGGGUGAGAAUCCCGUAUGUGGCCGAGGCCCGCGCCUAUGUAAAGCUCUUUCAACGAGUCGAGUUGUUUGGGAAUGCAGCUCAAAAUGGGUGGUAAAUUUCAUCUAAAGCUAAAUAUGGGCCAGAGACCGAUAGCGCACAAGUAGAGUGAUCGAAAGAUGAAAAGCACUUUGGAAAGAGAGUUAAACAGUACGUGAAAUUGUUGAAAGGGAAGCGCUUGCACCCAGACUUGGGCGCUGCUGAUCACCUUGCGGUCUCCGCGAGUGCACUCGACAGCGCACAGGCCAGCAUCGGUUCGGGUGGCUGGAUAAAGGCCGUAGGAACGUAGCUCCCUUCGGGGAGUGUUAUAGCCUACGGUGCCAUGCAGCCCAGCCGGACCGAGGACCGCGCCUUCGGGCUAGGAUGCUGGCGUAAUGGGUGUAAGCGACCCGUCUUGAAACACGGACCAAGGAGUCUAACAUCUAUGCGAGUGUUUGGGUGGCAAACCCAUACGCGGAAUGAAAGUGAACGUAGGUGAGAACCCCUUUGGGGCGCAUCAUCGACCGAUCCUGAUGUCUUCGGAUGGAUUUGAGUAAGAGCAUAGC
rnacentral:rRNA from 1 species